GAAGAACAUCUGAAGGUACAUAACGGGUCAGUACCACUGCUGUUGUGUUGUUUUCAAAACUGACCAUCAUGUGCUAUGACAUCAAAAAGCCCCUGAACACUGUGUUUUAUUAAAAGCUGUAUAAUUUGAUAAUUCCGUUAGGAGGAAACCUAUUGUUAUUCCAGGAAGUAAAACAGAUCUGUGGACGUGGAGAAAGUAAAAUACUUUGCAGAAGGCUUAAUCUCUUCAGAGAGCAUCGUGUACUGACAGAAUCUGAAUGAUGGCACAGUGUCGGUUUGAUUCAUACCACUUAUUAAUAUUUCUCCUAAUGGUGUCAACAACAGAAUGCGAAAAUUGUGACAUUUUGGACAGCAUUGAGACAGUGCUGAAUUCAGUAGUUACAGUUACAUGCCCUUUAACACCAUGGCCUGAAGUCACACAGGUCAUCUGGGAAGUUCUUCAAGGUGAAAAAGCAGAAAGAGUUGGUUCUGUAACCAACUGUUCAUCUUCCUGCACCACAGAAGCCAAUAACAACAGAGCCCAGCGACCUCUAUGUAAAGUGAGAGCAGUGCAGGAUUUACAAAAAGGAACUGGAUCACUGAUCAUUAGUCCUGUGGAGAUCACAGAUGCAGUUUGGUAUCGAUGUACAGUGCAAAACAGAACCAGAUCUUACUGUUCUCAAGUAAAGAUUGGUGUCAAAGAUGAGCCUCAACUUCAGACUCCGAUUCAAGAAUGCAAAAGCCUUGACCCAGUUGAAGUAGUACAGAACUCAACAUUGAUGCUUCAGUGCCCUGUGCCCAGAUCGCAUCUUGGUGCCCAACAGUUAAUCUGGGGGACUGUUGAAGUAGAUGUGACUGUUCCUAUAACUCGCUGCCCUUCACAUUGCACCUCCAGUGGACCCCAGAAACCACUGUGUGAGAGAGCAAAAACAAUGGAGAAUGGGUCACUGACUAUUAGUCAUGUGGAGUCUACAGAUUCUCAGUGGUUCUGGUGUGCACUUGCAGUGAAUUCCACAUUGUGUUAUAAAUUUAAGCUUACUGCCAAAGGUUUGUUCAAGCUUCACUUUGGCAUAAAUAUGACAUAUACAUGAGUUGCUUAGGUUUUAGUUAUCGUCUUCAGCAUGCUCUAAAAUAUUAGUACCAUUAUGUUUCACAUUAGAGCUAUGAGGGUGAGUCAAAUGAAAACCUUAAUAGUGUUACAUACACUCACUGAGCACUUUAUUAGGAACACUGUACUAAUACUGGGUAGGACUUCACUCAAAACCACCUCAAUUCUUUGUGGAAUGUAUUCCACAAGAUGUGCUGGAUAAUUUGCUUCUCCAACCUACAUUGACCCUGCUAGCUCAGAAAUUCAAACUAGGAAAUCAAUUAAGCUAUGUGACUCAUUCUUUAGAAAAAUAAAACCGCCAAACUCAUGAAGAUUGGAUUCAUAUGAGGAAGUUUUAUUUGCAGUCAGCAAGACAUCAAAUAACCUGAACUGGUACCAGGAAUGCACAACACAUGGAGAUGUAGCUUGCACUGAGGUUCUGUUGGUUAGAAGGUUCUUUAUAUACAUUUCAGACAUGGCACCAUAUCUAACUUUAACCAGUCAUACACAGUUCCCCUUUUGGUAUAUCCAAUCACAAUCUUCCUCAUGUAUCUCGGUUGCAUAAUUUUCCCAUUAUCUUCAACAGGCCCCAAGUUUUCCCAUUUUGUGAGGCCAUAAAUUUUCCAUUAUCUUUAUCUUGGUUUGCCUUUUUCAUGCAAACGUCAUUAUUUGCGUCAUUACACUAAGGAGCGUAUAUGGUCCCUGCCGUUUGCGUUCUCUUUAUUUACCCUUGAGGCCUUGUUCCACCACGGAUGAGUGAAUUGAAUUACCUUUACAUUUGUCUACUGUGUGCCUGUACCAUGGGUGAGUGAAUUUUCCACAUUUCCUGUAUGGAAUAUGGGCUCUCAUGUUUAUUCUAUGUGCUUUUUAUGCUCAGACUUGCAUUCUUAAGUCUUCAUGUGUUUUCUGUGAUUAGACGUAAAGUCAAACAUCAUCAACCCUGGUCCUUCCAAGAAGAACUCUGGGCCUUCCAUGAAGAAAAAAAGACCUGAUGCAUCUACUCAAACACGCUUUACAGUGUUUGGGGCAGACAGACUCCCACGUACCCAACUGCAUCUAAGUGUACUCAAGCUACCCAGGUUCCCUAGAAGAUAAUGCCUCUCCUAAUCUGAUAAUAAAAGCUGAAGGUGAUUCAUAUGCGACACAAAGCCCACCGGAGCAAACAAAUAGCAGAAAUGGCACUGUAGCCAGUUCUAAUGCCACAGUGAUGAUAACCUCAGCAACCUCUACUUUUCUCCUUGUGGCCAUGCUGGUUGGAGUGUACAUCUGUUUCAGAAAACAGAAAAAGAAAAGCACACACAAAGUUGAACUUGAGAAUCCAUAUGAAGUUUUUGAAGAAAUUGUACACAAUGAUAUUUUCCAAUAUUCUUCAGUUCAGUUUCAACCUGCAAGCUCAUAUACUUUUAACAAAUGAGAAGAGCCAUUCGGACGUCUCAAAAUCCCAUUCUGUUCCCUAAACACGGCCAUGUCUGUUCAAGACUUUUUUUUGCUGCUGAUGUAAUUAUCUUUUUUCCCCCCUUCAUUUACUCACUGUUUAUAUAUAUAUAUAUAUA